GUCAGGCCAGGCCCAGGCCACCCAGCCACUCCUGGCUCCUGCACCACCAUCAGCAGCCCCUGGCCAGCUUACUUCCUGCUUUACCUCUUUCUGUGGCAAAUGAAACUCUCUCCCCCAAACAGGACAGUGUCUGGCAGCGGUGGCCACACAAGCUCCCAGCUGGUGUGGAAGGUGCCCUCCUGUCCCAGCAGCUGACAUUUGUAACAAGCCUGUCCACGCCUGGUCACAUACAUCUGGGCUCACCUGUGCCGAGCCUGGGCCUGGAAGAACACGGAUGCUGUGUCAGCCCGCUACAUCCCCCGGUGGCCCUGGCCAGAGGCCACCUUAUCCUGCUGAGCCCUCUGUGCAGCCAGGCUGGGCCCCGAGGUCAGCUAGCUCCCACCUGGGCAUCUCCUCAUCCUGAAAACUGGCUGUGUAUUCAGUGUGGCGAGGACCCACAGAGAGGCCAGGGACGCAAUCCGUGCAGCUAGUGGCCUGUGGACACGGACAUCAUGCUUGUGUCAUGUUCAAAUAGCUGACCCCAGAGUCAUCUGGCACCACUUGAAGCAAGUCCCCAAGGCCCAAGUGAUAUGUGGGGAAGUGUCCCUGCAGCCCGUGGGCCUCUGAGGGCGGGGCGGCAUGUGUGCCAGUGUCCCCCUGGUUGGAGCUGGGAUCCAGGGCCUGGCCUGAGAGCUCGUCCUCCACCCAGCUGACGCAGGACGGGCUCCGUCACAUGUGGCUGAAAAGUCAAGACUCCCUCGCGUUGAGAGUUUGGGGAGACGGAGCUGAAGUGUGAGAGCUUUGUGAUCAGGGAAGUCUCCAGGAAGAUUGAUCUGAUGUGUGUCAUCUACAAAUCUGAGCCGCGUGCAGAUCAGGAAGCAAGCGUGUGCCACCAGGAAGCCAGCCAGGGCCGGAACGUGAGCACCCGGCAAGGCCUGACUGCUGAUUACGCUGCUGGAAAGGCGCAGCGGAAGAGGCGGAAACGGAAGGGGCCGUG
rnacentral:lncRNA from 1 species